AUACUUACUUGGCAGAGGAGAGGAGAUACGAAGGUGGUUUCCAGGGUGAGGCAUAUCCUUUGUACUCUGAAUAUGCUAACCCCUGCAAUUCCCCAAAUGUAGGAAACUUGACUGCAUAAUUUGUGGUAGUGGGGCACUGAGUUCUCAUUCGUGUG
rnacentral:snRNA from 1 species